GAUGAACGCUGGCGGCGUGCCUAAUACAUGCAAGUCGAGCGAACAGACGAGGAGCUUGCUCCUCUGACGUUAGCGGCGGACGGGUGAGUAACACGUGGAUAACCUACCUAUAAGACUGGGAUAACUUCGGGAAACCGGAGCUAAUACCGGAUAACAUGUUGAACCGCAUGGUUCAACAGUGAAAGACGGUCUUGCUGUCACUUCUAGAUGGAUCCGCGCCGCAUUAGCUAGUUGGUAAGGUAACGGCUUACCAAGGCAACGAUGCGUAGCCGACCUGAGAGGGUGAUCGGCCACACUGGAACUGAGACACGGUCCAGACUCCUACGGGAGGCAGCAGUAGGGAAUCUUCCGCAAUGGGCGAAAGCCUGACGGAGCAACGCCGCGUGAGUGAAGAAGGUCUUCGGAUCGUAAAACUCUGUUAUUAGGGAAGAACAAAUGUGUAAGUAACUAUGCACGUCUUGACGGUACCUAAUCAGAAAGCCACGGCUAACUACGUGCCAGCAGCCGCGGUAAUACGUAGGUGGCAAGCGUUAUCCGGAAUUAUUGGGCGUAAAGCGCGCGUAGGCGGUUUUUUAAGUCUGAUGUGAAAGCCCACGGCUCAACCGUGGAGGGUCAUUGGAAACUGGAAAACUUGAGUGCAGAAGAGGAAAGUGGAAUUCCAUGUGUAGCGGUGAAAUGCGCAGAGAUAUGGAGGAACACCAGUGGCGAAGGCGACUUUCUGGUCUGUAACUGACGCUGAUGUGCGAAAGCGUGGGGAUCAAACAGG
rnacentral:rRNA from 1 species